UUAGAGGCCGCUAUGAGCUCAGAGGAGGCCAGAACGGUCCAUCGGAGACUGGAGGGAGGCCGGCAGGGGGAAGGGGAACUGCCAGAGACCCUCCACCAGCAGCAGGAGCAGCACAUCCCUGAGGCCUCAGAGAUGUGCUGCCAUCUAAAUGGCAUAAUCAGCCAGAAGAAAAUGGACUAUUCAGUCCUAGAAACCAAUAUAGAUCCACUUUGAAUUCCACCAGCUGCUGGUGCCAGAAGUGGCAACUCACUUGUGUGCAGUGACUGCUAAACUCAAGAUUUUUGUACCUGACUGCAAACCCAAUAUGAAGUUGAUCUUCACACACGGUGGGAGACAUGUCCUCGUGCUCCUGGGGAAUGUGUGUGAAUAUUGCAGCCACCGGAGUGGAGCCAAUUGCCUGUGAUUUCCCUAUCUGUAUAAGUGUUUUGUUUGUUUGUUUUGCUGCUGUUCUGUAUAUUAUGGUCCUAAUGUGUAUUUUUUAAAAAACUUUUAUUUAGCUUUGUAGUUUUAUAUUCCAGUUUGUGUAUCUGUUUUAUAGUCGAUUGUUUUACAUGUUUUGUAAACCGCUUUGAGGUUGUUUUAAUGGAGCUUGGUAUAAAAAGAUGAUAAAUAAACAAACAGCUAAAAUCCA